AUGGAGCACAUUACCGAGGGCUCCUGGGAGUCGCUGCCGGUGCCGCUGCACCCGCAGGUGCUGGGUGUCCUGCGGGACCUGGGGUUCCCGUAUAUGACGCCGGUGCAGUCUGCCACCAUCCCGCUGUUCAUGAAGAACAAAGACGUUGCUGCGGAAGCGGUCACCGGUAGUGGCAAAACCCUUGCCUUUGUGAUUCCCAUCCUGGAGAUCCUUCUGAGAAGGGAAGAGAAGCUAAAGAAGAGUCAGGUAGGCGCCAUAAUCAUCACCCCCACGCGAGAACUGGCUGUUCAGAUUGAUGAGGUACUGUCGCAUUUCACGAAGCCCUUCCCGCAGUUCAGUCAGAUCCUUUGGAUCGGAGGCAGGAACCCUGGAGAAGAUGUGGAGAGGUUCAAGCGGCAAGGAGGGAGCAUCAUUGUGGCCACCCCGGGCCGCCUAGAGGACAUGUUCCGCAGGAAGGCAGAGGGCUUGGACCUGGCCAGCUGUGUGCGGAACCUGGACGUCCUGGUGCUGGACGAGGCAGACAGACUCCUGGACAUGGGAUUUGAGGCCAGCAUCAACACCAUCCUGGCGUUUCUGCCGAAGCAAAGGAGAACGGGCCUUUUCUCGGCUACGCAGACGCAGGAGGUAGAGAACCUGGUGCGCGCUGGUCUCCGCAACCCCGUGCGGAUCUCAGUGAAGGAGAAGGGCGUGGCAGCCAGCAGCACCCAGAAGACACCCUCACGGCUUCAGAACUACUACAUGGUAUGUAAGGCAGAUGAGAAGUUCAAUCAGCUGGUACAUUUUCUUCGGAAUCACAAGCAGGAAAAACACCUGGUCUUUUUCAGCACCUGCGCCUGUGUGGAGUACUACGGGAAGGCCCUGGAGGCGCUGGUGAAGGGUGUGAGCAUCAUGUGCAUUCACGGGAAGAUGAAGCACAAGCGCAACAGGAUCUUCAUGGACUUCCGCAAACUGCAGAGCGGGAUUUUGGUGUGCACGGACGUGAUGGCCCGGGGCAUCGACAUCCCUGAAGUCAACUGGGUUCUGCAGUACGACCCUCCCAGCAGUGCGAGUGCCUUUGUGCAUCGCUGCGGCCGCACAGCCCGCAUUGGUCAUGGCGGCAGUGCCCUGGUGUUUCUGUUGCCCAUGGAGGAGGCCUACGUCACUUUCCUCAACAUCAACCAGAAGUGCCCGCUGCAGGAGACGCGGCACCAGGGGACCGCGGUGGACCUUUUGCCGAAGCUCAGGGCCAUGGCCCUGGCUGACAGAGCCGUGUUUGAGAAGGGCAUGAGGGCCUUCGUGUCCCACAUCCAGGCCUACGCCAAGCAUGAGUGCAACCUCAUCUUCAGGCUGAAGGAUCUUGAUUUUGCUAGUCUUGCUCGAGGUUUUGCCCUGCUGCGGAUGCCCAGGAUGCCAGAGCUGAAAGGCAAGCAUUUUCCAGAUUUUGUGCCUGUGGAUGUUAACACAGACACGAUUCCAUUUAAAGACAAAGUCAGGGAGAAGCAGAGGCAGAAACUACUGGAGCAGCAAAGAAAAGAGAAGACAGAAAAUGAAAGGAGAGGGAAAUUCAUAAAAAAUAAAGCUUGGUCAAAGCAGAAGGCCAAAAAGGAAAGGAAGAAAAAAAUGAAUGAAAAAAGGAAGAGGGAAGAGGGAUCUGACAUUGAAGAUGAGGACAUGGAGGAACUUCUUAAUGACACAAGACUCUUGAAAAAGCUUAAAAAAGGCAAAAUUACAGAAGAUGAAUUUGAGAAGGGGUUGCUGACGAGCCGCAAAAGAGCAGCCAGGACGGCAGAGCUGGGGCUCUCAGAGCCAGAAGACAGCUGACUGCAGUGCCUCAGGUGCGUGCAGCGGUGCCUGCAGGUGGGGGUGCGCACUUUACUGUGUGCCAGGCCCGAGUCUACAGGAAUCUACAGAACUUAGGUCUGCAAAUCCUCUGGAUGGGAAGCGUCUCUGCGACCCGUGCAGGCCGUUUCCACCACGGCCGCUGCCUGGCUCUCCCCUGCCGCGAGUCGCAUCCGCUGCCUGCCCUCCUGGGUGCCAUGUGUGGUGUCCUGGCUCCCCACAGCCUGCAUGGCUUCAGACGAUGUGGUCAGGUGGGCGGGACAGGAAGGAGGCAGCAUUGGCUGUCGGUGCUAAGGAGUCUGUGAUCAAACCUGCGUUUCUGGAAACGACUGGCUGCAAGUUCGUGGAAACUAAGUGGAUUUAGGCUUGGUUUU